rnacentral:rRNA from 1 species
AUUGAACGCUGGCGGCAUGCUUUACACAUGCAAGUCGGACGAGUGGCGGACGGGUGAGUAAUGCAUCGGAACGUGCCUAGUAUCGGGGGCUAACUGCUCGAAAGGUUAGCUAAUACCGCAUACUCUGCGAGCGGCCGAUUUCGGAUUAGCUGGUUGGCGGGGUAAAGGCCCACCAAGGCGACGAUCAGUAGCGGGUCUGAGAGGAUGAUCCGCCACACUGGGACUGAGACACGGCCCAGACUCCUACGGGAGGCAGCAGUGGGGAAUUUUGGACAAUGGGCGAAAUCCUGAUCCAGCCAUGCCGCGUGUCUGAAGAAGGCCUUCGGGUUGUAAAGAACUUUUGUCAGAGAAGCGGUACCUGAAGAAUAAGCACCGGCUAACUACGUGCCAGCAGCCGCGGUAAUAC